UACAGAGGGUGCAAACGUUGUUCGGAAUCACUGGGCAUAAAGCGCAUGUAGGCGGCUACGUGAGUGUCGGAUGAAAUCCCACGGCCUACCCGUGGAACGGUUCGGCAUACUGCGUAGCUAGAGGAUGGUAGAGGAGAGCGGAACUCUUGGUGGAGCGGUGAAAUGCGUAGAUAUCAAGAGGAACACCGGUGGCGAAGGCGGCUCUCUGGUCCAUUACUGACGCUGAGGUGCGAAAGCCAGGGGAGCAAACGGG
rnacentral:rRNA from 1 species